rnacentral:rRNA from 1 species
AACUAACGCUGGCGGCGCGUCUUAAACAUGCAAGUCAAACGGGUAGCAAUACCAGUGGCGAACGGGUGAGUAAUACAUGGAUAACCUACCUUUAAGUUGGGAAUAACACAGAGAAAUUUGUGCUAAUACCGAAUGUGACGGUUCAGCAAAGGCUGGAUUGGUUAAAGCAGCAAUGCGCUUAGAGAUGGGUCCAUGGCUGAUUAGCUAGUUGGUGGGGUAAAGGCCCACCAAGGCGACGAUCAGUAGCCGGCCUGAGAGGGUGAACGGCCACAAUGGAACUGAGACACGGUCCAUACUCCUACGGGAGGCAGCAGUUAAGAAUCUUGCUCAAUGGGCGAAAGCCUGAAGCAGCGACGCCGCGUGAACGAUGAAGGUCUUCAGAUUGUAAAGUUCAGUAGUAGGGACGAAAAAAAUGACGGUACCUACCUAAAGCACCGGCUAACUACGUGCCAGCCGCCGCCGUAAUAC